rnacentral:rRNA from 1 species
GCCCUUCGGUUGAUCCUGCCGGACCCGACUGCUAUUUGGGUGAGAAUAAGCCAUGCGAGUUGAAUGGGAUACCUAAAGUUCCCAUAGCAAACUGCUCAGUAACACAUGAUCAACUUACCCUAUAGAGAAAAAUAACCUCGGGAAACUGAGGAUAAUGUUUCAUAAUUGAAUUGGCUUGGAAAAGUUUUUCAAUGAAAAGGAUAAAAAAAAUGGUUUUUAUCUGCUAUAGGAUAGGAUCGUGUUCGAUUAUGGUUGUCGGUGAGAUAAUGGCUCACCAAGCCGAUAAUCGAUAGGGGCCGUGAGAGCGGGAGCCCCGAGAUGGGUACUGAGACAACGACCCAGGCCUUACGAGGCGCAGCAGGCGCGGAACCUCCGCAAUACACGAAAGUGUGACGGGGUUACCCAAAGUGUUCAAUAGAACUGUGGUAGGUGAGUAAUGUCCCCUACUAGAAAGGAGAGGGCAAGGCUGGUGCCAGCCGCCGCGGUAAAACCAGCUCUUCAAGUGGUCGGGAUAAUUAUUGGGCUUAAAGUGUCCGUAGCCGGUUUAGUAAGUUCCUGGUAAAAUCGGGUAGCUUAACUAUCUGCAUGCUAGGAAUACUGCUAUACUAGAGGGCGGGAGAGGUCUGAGGUACUACAGGGGGUAGGGGGUGAAAUCUUAUAAUCCUUGUAGGACCACCAGUGGCGAAAGCGUCAGACUGGAACGCGCCUGACGGUGAGGGACGAAAGCCAGGGGAGCGAACCGGAUUAGAUACCCGGGUAGUCCUGGCCGUAAACGAUGCAUACUAGUGAUGGUACGGCCAUGAGCCGUAUCAGUGCCGUAAGGGAAGCCGUUAAGUGUGCCGCCUGGGAAGUACGGUCGCAAGGCUAAAACUUAAAGGAAUUGGCGGGGGAGCACAAGGGC